GGAAUCUUCCGCAAUGGACGAAAGUCUGACGGAGCAACGCCGCGUGAGUGAAGAAGGUUUUCGGAUCGUAAAGCUCUGUUGCCAGGGAAGAACGUCUUCUAGAGUAACUGCUAGGAGAGUGACGGUACCUGAGAAGAAAGCCCCGGCUAACUACGUGCCAGCAGCCGCGGUAAUACGUAGGGGGCAAGCGUUGUCCGGAAUUAUUGGGCGUAAAGCGCGCGCAGGCGGCUGUUUAAGUCUGGUGUUUAAUCCUGGGGCUCAACUCCGGGUCGCACUGGAAACUGGACGGCUUGAGUGCAGAAGAGGAGAGUGGAAUUCCACGUGUAGCGGUGAAAUGCGUAGAGAUGUGAAGAACACCAGUGGCGAUGGCGGCUCACUGGACCGGUAUUGACGCUGAGGUGCGAAAGCGUGGGGAGCAAACAGGA
rnacentral:misc_RNA from 1 species